rnacentral:rRNA from 1 species
CAAUAGCGUAUAUUAAAGUUGUUGCAGUUAAAAAGCUCGUAGUUGGAUUUCUGAUCGAGACAUCAGGUCGGGUCCGAGAGGAUCAUGUACUUUGAUUUUGUUUUGAUAAUCCUUGGGGAGAGCAUUUCUGGCAUUCAGUUGUCGGGAUUGGGAUCCUCAUCGUUUACUGUGAAAAAAUUAGAGUGUUCAAAGCAGGCCUCGGCCUCUGAAUACAUUAGCAUGGAAUAAUAAGAUAGGACUUUGGUGGUCUAUUUUGUUGGUUUGCACGCCAAAGUAAUGAUUAAUAGGGAUAGUUGGGGGUAUUCGUAUUCAAUUGUCAGAGGUGAAAUUCUUGGAUUUAUGGAAGACGAACUACUGCGAAAGCAUUUACCAAGGAUGUUUUCAUUAA